GAUGAACGCUGGCGGCGUGCCUAAUACAUGCAAGUCGAGCGAACAGAUGAGGAGCUUGCUCCUCUGACGUUAGCGGCGGACGGGUGAGUAACACGUGGAUAACCUACCUAUAAGACUGGGAUAACUUCGGGAAACCGGAGCUAAUACCGGAUAAUAUAUUGAACCGCAUGGUUCAAUAGUGAAAGACGGUUUUGCUGUCACUUAUAGAUGGAUCCGCGCCGCAUUAGCUAGUUGGUAAGGUAACGGCUUACCAAGGCAACGAUGCGUAGCCGACCUGAGGGGGUGGUCGGCCACACUGGAACUGAGACACGGUCCAGACUCCUACGGGAGGCAGCAGUAGGGAAUCUUCCGCAAUGGGCGAAAGCUUGACGGAGCAACGCCGCGUGAGUGAUGAAGGUCUUCGGAUCGUAAAACUCUGUUAUUAGGGAAGAACAAAUGUGUAAGUAACUAUGCACGUCUUGACGGUACCUAAUCAGAAAGCCACGGCUAACUACGUG
rnacentral:rRNA from 1 species